CCCUUAGAUGUUCUGGGCCGCACGCGCGCUACACUGGCGGGGUCUGUGGGUUGUGACGUGGCUGAAUGGUCGUGUCCGUUCCUAGCUGGAGACGGCUGGGUAAUCCUGAAGCAGCCUCGCCGUGCUGGGGAUAGACGAUUGCAAUUGUUCGUCUUGAACGAGGAAUUCCUAGUAAACGCAAGUCAUCAGCUUGCAUUGAUUACGUCCCUGCCCUUUGUACACACCGCCCGUCGCACCUACCGAUUGAAUGGUGCGGUGAAAUGUUGGGAUGCCGCGUACGUGCUCGCAAGAGCGUGUUCUGCGACAGAACUGCAUUGAACCUGAUCAUUUAGAGGAAGGUGAAGUCGUAACA
rnacentral:rRNA from 1 species